rnacentral:rRNA from 1 species
AUUGAACGCUGGCGGCAGGCCUAACACAUGCAAGUCGAACGAGGGGCAGAGGGGUGAGUAAUGUGGGGGAAACUACGAGAGGGAGGGGGAUAUCUACUGGAAACGGUAGCUAAUACCGCAUACCAUCGGAUGUGCCCAGAUGGGAUUAGCUAGUAGGUGGGGUAACGGCUCACCUAGGCGACGAUCCCUAGCUGGUCUGAGAGGAUGACCAGCCACACUGGAACUGAGACACGGUCCAGACUCCUACGGGAGGCAGCAGUGGGGAAUAUUGCACAAUGGGCGCAAGCCUGAUGCAGCCAUGCCGCGUGUAUGAAGAAGGCCUUCGGGUUGUAAAGUACUUUCAGCGAGGAGGCGUUACUCGCAGAAGAAGCACCGGCUAACUCCGUGCCAGCAGCCGCGGUAAUUC